CCCGCUGAAUUUAAGCAUAUUAGUCAGAGGAGGAAAAGAAACUAGCCAGGAUUCCCUCGGUGGUGGCGGUGGCGGAAGGGAA